rnacentral:rRNA from 1 species
UACAGAGGAGCCAAGCGUUGUCCGGAUUGACUGGGCGUAAAGCGCACGCAGGCGGAUGCGCGCGUGGGGUGUGAAAUCUGGCCGCUUAACGGCCAGGCGCCAAUCCCAUACGGCGCGUCUGGAGUGAUGCAGAGGUCGGUGGAAUUGCCGGUGUAGUGGUGAAAUGCGUAGAGAUCGGCAGGAACACCCAGGGGGAAACCGAGCC